AGUGAACGCUGGCGGUAGGCCUAACACAUGCAAGUCGAACGGCAGCACAGUAAGAGCUUGCUCUUACGGGUGGCGAGUGGCGGACGGGUUAGGAAUACAUCGGAAUCUACUUUUUCGUGGGGGAUAACGUAGGGAAACUUACUCUAAUACCGCAUACGACCUACGGGUUAAAGCAGGGGAUCUUCGGACCUUGCGCGAUUGAAUAAGCCGACGUCGGAUUAGCUAGUUGGCGGGGUAAAGGCCCACCAAGGCGACGAUCCGUAGCUGGUCUGAGAGGAUGAUCAGCCACACUGGAACUGAGAAACGGUCCAGACUCCUACGGGAGGCAGCAGUGGGGAAUAUUGGACAAUGGGCGCAAGCCUGAUCCAGCCAUACCGCGUGGGUGAAGAAGGCCUUCGGGUUGUAAAGCCCUUUUGUUGGGAAAGAAAAGCAGCAGGUUAAUACCCCGCUGUUCUGACGGUACCCAAAGAAUAAGCACCGGCUAACUUCGUG
rnacentral:rRNA from 1 species